rnacentral:rRNA from 1 species
CAGCAGCCGCGGUAAUACGAAGGGUGCAAGCGUUACUCGGAAUUACUGGGCGUAAAGCGUGCGUAGGUGGUGGUUUAAGUCCGUUGUGAAAGCCCUGGGCUCAACCUGGGAAUUGCAGUGGAUACUGGAUCACUAGAGUGUGGUAGAGGAUAGUGGAAUUUCCGGUGUAGCAGUGAAAUGCGUAGAGAUCGGAAGGAACAUCUGUGGCGAAGGCGACUAUCUGGGCCAACACUGACACUGAGGCACGAAAGCGUGGGGAGCAAACAGGAUUAGAUACCCCUGUAGUCCCUGUCUCUUAUAC